GGUGUCUUUGACAAGAGUGACAGGGCUAGCACUAGCUGGGCAGAUCUGACAUUAUUUUGAAGAUGGACUCAUUUAGACGUGGUGAUAGGUUGAAUAUGGAAGUAGGGGGAGGAGGCAGGAAAAACUCCCAGGUUUCUGGCAGAAGUGGCUCAAUGGAUGGAAGUAGAACUUGUUGAAAUGGGACAGGUUGAGGGAGGGGAGAGGUUGUGAUGAGGGGGAACGCCAAGGGUUUUGUUUUGAAUAUUUCAAAUUUCAGAAGCUCUUGAUACCUCUUGAAAAAUGUCAAGGAAGCAGUUACGCCGACAAGAUGGGAGCUCGGCAGUGAGGCUGAGGUCUGGGCUGAAGACAUCCAUUCGGAAAGUCGCUAAAGCCAUGGGAAUGGCUUUGAAUGUGGCGCCCUGGAAACAUGUAGCCGGCGUGCCCACCUGGCGCUCAUCUGGGGUCCAGAGUCCUCUCCAGCUGAAUAAGUCAACGCAAGUGAGCUGCGGGGAGCCAGCUCUCCUGUAACUCCGCUCUCACCUUCAGAGACCCUCAAGGUCAUCCAGUGCCAGCUGCACUAUGGGAGACAGGCUAAUGCUGGGGACGAAACCAAGUCAGGCAAGAGCCAGAACACUAACGGAGAGACCUGAACCAUCAUCCUCUCCUUGGCUUCAAUGUCUACCUCCACCACUUCCUUCCUCCUCCUCCUCCUCCUCCUUCACGACCCAGAGCAUGAUUCUCCGGAGGUGGAGUCCUGGUCGAAGAGAAGUAGGUGUGGUCCCUGCAAGGGAAGAGGUCCUCGUUGGAGAAGAGAAAGAGGAAGAAAGCACAGAGUAGGGGCUCAAGGACUUUGCUGACAGGGACUGAAGAAGGUGCAGGCUCUGGGUUCCAGUGCUCCAACGGCUUGCCUUCUGGGAGAAUUUCCUUAAGAAAGGAGCCACAGGAAUCGCCGAUUGGGAAUUACAAACCCACCCUGUCAGUUCUUUCGAAGAGAAUUUCUUUCUCCAACCGAGAGCCCACUUGGAGUGCGAAGGGGUCCCUUACAUACUGGAGAGGAGCAGAGGAUUCUGACCUCAUCGUUCCCGAGAGGGUGCUUCUGGUGCGCUAGCUCCCCACGCCUGAGAACCCCAGCUCAUCCGAAGCUUGGAAUUCAAUUGCCCCAACGGCGAGGAGCCUUGGGGUGAAUGGCAGCCGAGAAGAGCAGAGUGGAGACCCCAGCUCGUCUGACAGAUGCCCAGCCUUCAGCCUUCUUCCACCUUGCUCUGUCUUCUGAGAGCAGAGCUGAAGCCCCAAGACACCGCCUGGAGCAAGCAGCUG